UACGUAGGGGGCAAGCGUUGUCCGGAAUCAUUGGGCGUAAAGCGCGUGUAGGCGGCCCGGUAAGUCCGCUGUGAAAGUCGGGGGCUCAACCCUCGGAUGCCGGUGGAUACUGUCGGGCUCGAGUACGGAAGAGGCGAGUGGAAUUCCUGGUGUAGCGGUGAAAUGCGCAGAUAUCAGGAGGAACACCGAUUGCGAAGGCAGCUCGCUGGGACGUGACUGACGCUGAGACGCGAAAGCGUGGGGAUCAAACAGG
rnacentral:rRNA from 1 species